GACGAACGCUGGCGGCGUGCUUAACACAUGCAAGUCGAACGGAAAGGCCAUGCUUUUGUGGGGUGCUCGAGUGGCGAACGGGUGAGUAACACGUGAGUAACCUGCCCUUGACUUUGGGAUAACUUCAGGAAACUGGGGCUAAUACCGGAUAGGAGCUCCUGCUGCAUGGUGGGGGUUGGAAAGUUUCGGCGGUUGGGGAUGGACUCGCGGCUUAUCAGCUUGUUGGUGGGGUAGUGGCUUACCAAGGCUUUGACGGGUAGCCGGCCUGAGAGGGUGACCGGCCACAUUGGGACUGAGAUACGGCCCAGACUCCUACGGGAGGCAGCAGUGGGGAAUAUUGCACAGUGGGCGGAAGCCUGAGGCAGCAACGCCGCGUGCGGGAUGACGGCCUUCGGGUUGUAAACCGCUUUCGCCUGUGACGAAGCGUGAGUGACGGUAAUGGGUAAAGAAGCACCGGCUAACUACGUG
rnacentral:rRNA from 1 species